rnacentral:rRNA from 1 species
AUUGAACGAUAGCGGGAUGCCUUACACAUGCAAGUCGAACGGAGUGGCGAACGGGUGAGUAAUGUAUCGGAACGUGCCCAGGAGAGGGGGAUAACUACGAGAAAGCGUAGCUAAUACCGCAUACUAUUGGAGCGGCCGAUAGCGGAUUAGCUAGUUGGGGGGGUAACGGCUCACCAAGGCGACGAUCCGUAGCUGGUUUGCGAGGACGACCAGCCACGCUGGGACUGAGACACGGCCCAGACUCCUACGGUAGGCAGCAGUGGGGAAUUUUGGACAAUGGGGGAAACCCUGAUCCAGCCAUCCCGCGUGUGCGAUGAAGGCCUUCGGGCUGUAAAGCACUUUUGGCAGGAAAGCGGUACCUGCAGAAUAAGUACCGGCUAACUACGUGCCAGCAGCCGCGGUAAUAC